rnacentral:rRNA from 1 species
GAUGAACGCUGGCGGCGUGCCUAAUACAUGCAAGUCGAGCGAACGGACGAGAAGCUUGCUUCUCUGAUGUUAGCGGCGGACGGGGGAGUAACACGUGGAUAACCUACCUAUAAGACUGGGAUAACUUGGGGAAACCGGAGCUAAUACCGGAUAAUAUUUUGAACCGCAGGGUUCAAAAGUGAAAGACGGUCUUGCUGUCACUUAUAGAUGGUUCCGCGUUGCAUUAGCUAGUGGGUAAGGUAACGGCUUACCAAGGCAACGAUGCAUAGCCGACCUGAGAGGGUGAUCGGCCACACUGGAACUGAGACACGGUCCAGACUCCUACGGGAGGCAGCAGUAGGGAAUCUUCCGCAAUGGGCGAAAGCCUGACGGAGCAACGCCGCGUGAGUGAUGAAGGUCUUCGGAUCGUAAAACUCUGUUAUUAGGGAAGAACAUAUGUGUAAGUAACUGUGCACAUCUUGACGGUACCUAAUCAGAAAGCCACGGCUAACUACGUG